rnacentral:rRNA from 1 species
UACGAAGGGGGCUAGCGUUGCUCGGAAUGACUGGGCGUAAAGGGCGCGUAGGCGGAGUGCUUUGUCGGGCGUGAAAUUCCAGGGCUCAACCUUGGGGCUGCGUUCGAGACGGGUGCUCUUGAGUUUGGAAGAGGGUCGUGGAAUUCCCAGUGUAGAGGUGAAAUUCGUAGAUAUUGGGAAGAACACCGGUGGCGAAGGCGGCGACCUGGUCCAAGACUGACGCUGAGGCGCGAAAGCCAGGGGAGCGAACGGG